rnacentral:lncRNA from 1 species
GGUGACACACAGCUAAGCCACAGCAACGUCAAGAUCUAAAGGAAGCCUAAAGGGAAUGGAUAAAGUGACUGCUGUACAUGAUCAUGAGAGAUGCUGAGCUCUACGAGAGAGUUUCUUUGCACAGACUUCGUGUAAGGACUACCAGGAGCUAAGGGACAUUGAGACAGAUUUCACUUGUGGACUGGGCCUAAACCUGGCGUCCCGUGGAAGCUCUGGUUAAUGAAGAACAGGUCAAAGAGAAGCCUAAGAAAAGAAGAACCUUAGCUUUGGAGGGUGGCUGAAAAAUAUCAAUAAAUAAGCAACCUCAAAAGAAUUAGGGUUCUUCUGGUGCCUGUAGCAUCACUCCACUUGGAAAAGGCAGCCCAGAACCCCAUCUCAAAUCUCUAUGGGCAUCUCUAUGAGUUGAAACACCAAGUUGCCUUCAGUAUACUUUAUGGCUUGUUCUUUUUUGUGUCUGUGGUGUCUAGCACAAUUCUUACUCACAUUAAAGCACGACAAACA